rnacentral:lncRNA from 1 species
AUUAUGGACGAUUGAUAGUGCUUCUUUUGAUUAUUUUGGUUCAAGUUGAUGCAGAAUCUGUAGAGAUUAUGGAAGAUUGAAAUUAUUAUUUACAUUUUUAGCUGGCCCAAUUAUUUUGGGUGGUUGUAGUUGCCUCUAUUGUCACAGAAUAUGAAGUUCGUGAUAUUUCGUAUGCUUCCAAAAACUUGAGAGGUGGCAGUUUUAAAAGGUUUUCCC